AUUGAACGCUGGCGGCAGGCCUAACACAUGCAAGUCGAACGGUAACACGAUGAAGCUUGCUUCUUUGCGGUGGCGUGGCGGGCGGGUGUGAGAUGUCCGGCAAACUGCCUGAUGUAGGGGGAUAACUCGUGGAAACGGUAGCUAUUACAGCAUAUCGUAGCAACAGCAGAGAGCAGGACAUCCUGGCCCCUUGCCAUCUUGUAUGCGCCGAUGUCGGAUUAGCUAGGUGGCGGGGUAAAGGCCCACCAGGGCGACGAUCCGUAGCUGGUCUGAGAGGAUGAUCAGCCACACUGGAACUGAGACACGGUCCAGACUCCUACGGGAGGCAGCAGUGGGGAAUAUUGGACAAUGGGCGCAAGCCUGAUGCAGCCAUGCCGCGUGGAUGAAGAAGGCCUUCGGGUUGUAAAGCACUUUUGUCGGGAAAGAAGAGAAGAAGGUUAAUACCUCGGCGCAUUGACGGUACCCAAAGAAUAAGCACCGGCUAACUCCGUG
rnacentral:rRNA from 1 species